CCUACGGGGGGCAGCAGUGAGGAAUAUUGGUCAAUGGACGAGAGUCUGAACCAGCCAAGUAGCGUAAAGGAUGUCUGCCCUAUGGGUUGUAAACUUCUUUUAUAUGGGAAUAAAAUGUUCCACGUGUGGGAUUUUGUAUGUACCAUAUGAAUAAGGAUCGGCUAACUCCGUGCCAGCAGCCGCGGUAAUACGGAGGAUCCGAGCGUUGUCCGGAUUUAUUGGGUUUAAAGGGAGCGUAGGUGGAUUGUUAAGUCAGUUGUGAAAGUUUGCGGCUUAACCGUAAAAUUGCAGUUGAAACUGGCAGUCUUGAGUACAGUAGAGGUGAGCGGAAUUCGAGGUGUAGCGGUGAAAUGCGUAGAUAUCACGAAGAACUCCGAUUGCGAAGGCAGUUCACUGGACUGCAACUGACACUGAGGCUCGAAAGUGUGGGUAUCAAACAGGAUUAGAUACCCGGGUAGUC
rnacentral:rRNA from 1 species